GUGGGGAAUAUUGGACAAUGGGCGAAAGCCUGAUCCAGCCAUGCCGCGUGUGUGAAGAAGGUCUUCGGAUUGUAAAGCACUUUAAGUUGGGAGGAAGGGCAGUAAGUUAAUACCUUGCUGUUUUGACGUUACCGACAGAAUAAGCACCGGCUAACUUCGUGCCAGCAGCCGCGGUAAUACGAAGGGUGCAAGCGUUAAUCGGAAUUACUGGGCGUAAAGCGCGCGUAGGUGGUUUUGUAAGUUGGAGGUGAAAUCCCCGGGCUCAACCUGGGAACUGCCUCCAAAACAGCAUGACUAGAGUACGGUAGAGGGUAGUGGAAUUUCCGGUGUAGCGGUGAAAUGCGUAGAUAUAGGAAGGAACACCAGUGGCGAAGGCGACUACCUGGACUGAUACUGACACUGAGGUGCGAAAGCGUGGGGAGCAAACAGGAUUAGAAACCCCAGUAGUCC
rnacentral:rRNA from 1 species